CCUACGGGAGGCAGCAGUGAGGAAUAUUGGUCAAUGGCCGUAAGGCUGAACCAGCCAAGUAGCGUGAGGGAAGACUGCCCUAUGGGUUGUAAACCUCUUUUGUCAGGGAGCAAAGGGCGCCACGUGUGGCGCUUUGCGAGUACCUGAAGAAAAAGCAUCGGCUAACUCCGUGCCAGCAGCCGCGGUAAUACGGAGGAUGCGAGCGUUAUCCGGAUUUAUUGGGUUUAAAGGGUGCGCAGGCGGAAUGUCAAGUCAGCGGUAAAAUUUCGGGGCUCAACCCCGUCGUGCCGUUGAAACUGGCGUUCUUGAGUGAGCGAGAAGUAUGCGGAAUGCGUGGUGUAGCGGUGAAAUGCAUAGAUAUCACGCAGAACUACGAUUGCGAAGGCAGCAUACCGGCGCUCAACUGACGCUCAUGCACGAAAGCGUGGGUAUCGAACAGGAUUAGAUACCCUUGUAGUC
rnacentral:rRNA from 1 species